GCCAGGGCCCUGAGAACCUUCCUCCCUUGAGCUUUCUUCCCCCGGCACACAAACGGGAGCCAGCCGCCGCCCCUCCAGCCCUGCCACGGCCCAGGGAAACCCCAACAGUUUCGGAGGGCUCAUCUUCAACAAGACCAUAUCCAAGCAGCAGUUCAAAGGCAUGGACAUAUUUGCCCCCAUCGUAUGUGAUCAGUUUGGAGGAGAAUUGACGUCUUAACAACAUUGAAUCUUCUGACCCGUGACCAAG